ACAGCAGUAGCCGCGGUAAUACGAAGGGUGCAAGCGUUAAUCGGAAUUACUGGGCGUAAAGCGUGCGUAGGCGGUGAGUUAAGUCUGCUGUGAAAUCCCCGGGCUCAACCUGGGAAUGGCAGUGGAUACUGGCUCGCUAGAGUGUGUCAGAGGAUGGUGGAAUUCCCGGUGUAGCGGUGAAAUGCGUAGAGAUCGGGAGGAACAUCAGUGGCGAAGGCGGCCAUCUGGGACAACACUGACGCUGAGGCACGAAAGCGUGGGGAGCAAACAGGAUUAGAUACCCGAGUAGUCCCUGUCUCUUAUAA
rnacentral:rRNA from 1 species